GACGAACCGUGCGAACGUUGUUCGGAAUCACUGGGCUUAAAGGGCGCGUAGGCGGGCUGCCAAGUCUGGGGUGAAAUCCUCCGGCUCAACCGGAGAACGGCCUGGGAUACUGGCGGCCUUGAGGGAGGUAGGGGCAUGCGGAACUAUGCGUGGAGCGGUGAAAUGCGUUGAUAUGCAUAGGAACUCCGGUGGCGAAGGCGGCGUGCUGGACCUCUUCUGACGCUGAGGCGCGAAAGCCAGGGGAGCGAACGGG
rnacentral:rRNA from 1 species